GACGAACGCUGGCGGCGUGCUUAACACAUGCAAGUCGAACGGAAAGGCCCUGCUUUUGUGGGGUGCUCGAGUGGCGAACGGGUGAGUAACACGUGAGUAACCUGCCCUUGACUUUGGGAUAACUUCAGGAAACUGGGGCUAAUACCGGAUAGGAGCUCCUGCUGCAUGGUGGGGGUUGGAAAGUUUCGGCGGUUGGGGAUGGACUCGCGGCUUAUCAGCUUGUUGGUGGGGUAGUGGCUUACCAAGGCUUUGACGGGUAGCCGGCCUGAGAGGGUGACCGGCCACAUUGGGACUGAGAUACGGCCCAGACUCCUACGGGAGGCAGCAGUGGGGAAUAUUGCACAAUGGGCGGAAGCCUGAUGCAGCAACGCCGCGUGCGGGGUGACGGCCUUCGGGUUGUAAACCGCUUUCGCCUGUGACGAGGCGUGAGUGACGGUAAUGGGUAAAGAAGCACCGGCUAACUACGUG
rnacentral:rRNA from 1 species